rnacentral:rRNA from 1 species
AGCGAACGCUGGCGGCAGGCCUAGCACAUGCAAGUCGAACGGAUCCUUCGGGAUUAGUGGCGGACGGGUGAGUAACACGUGGGAACGUGCCCUUUGGUUCGGAACAACUCAGGGAAACUUGAGCUAAUACCGGAUGUGCCCUUCGGGGGAAAGAUUUAUCGCCAUUGGAGCGGCCCGCGUCUGAUUAGCUAGUUGGUGAGGUAACGGCCCACCAAGGCGACGAUCAGUAGCUGGUCUGAGAGGAUGAUCAGCCACACUGGGACUGAGACACGGCCCAGACUCCUACGGGAGGCAGCAGUGGGGAAUCUUGCGCAAUGGGCGAAAGCCUGACGCAGCCAUGCCGCGUGAAUGAUGAAGGUCUUAGGAUUGUAAAAUUCUUUCGGCGGGGACGAUAAUGACGGUACCCGCAGAAGAAGCUCCGGCUAACUUCGUG